ACUCCAACCCACCAUGCACGAAACCAAACAAACAUUAAAAAAAAAAAAAAACGCCAAUAAUUCACGGACUCUGUUUGUGGUUUCGCUUUCACGGUUUCACCAUCACUAAUUUCAACCCCUACUGUCGGUUUCUCCUCUUUCUUUGGGGGGUUUGUGCAGGGUUUAUCAUCUCAAACCCCAAUAUAUCAUUAGCUUCAAACACACACACAUACGCACAAAAAUGGGGUCUUUGGAAAAUGGGGUUGAGCAACUAACACUACAUGACAGAGAAGAAGAGCCAAUAUUGAAAGAGCAAAACCAGAGGUUUUGCAUGUUUCCCAUAAGGUACAAGCAGCUUUGGGAGAUGUACAAGAAGGCUCAAGCCAGUUUCUGGACCGCUGAGGAGGUUGAUCUUUCCCAGGAUAUGAGGCAGUGGGAAACUCUGUCUGACUCUGAGAAACACUUCAUUAGCCAUGUGCUGGCAUUUUUUGCCGCAUCUGAUGGGAUUGUAUUGGAGAAUUUAGCUGCUAGAUUUCUAAAUGAUGUUCAAGUACCAGAGGCUCGGGCAUUCUAUGGAUUUCAAAUUGCAAUGGAGAAUGUUCACUCUGGUAGAGCUUUGCUACCUGACUUAAAUAUGUUCUGCUGCCUAUUUUCAGAAAUGUACAGCUUGCUUCUAGAGACAUAUAUCAAGGAUUCAAAAGAGAAGCAUAGAUUGUUCAAUGCAAUUGAAAACAUUCCUUGUGUGGCUAGGAAGGCUAAGUGGGCUUUAGAUUGGAUUCAUAGCUCCACCUUGUUUGCAGAGAGAAUUGUUGCUUUUGCAUGUGUUGAAGGAAUCUUUUUCUCAGGAAGCUUCUGUUCCAUAUUCUGGCUUAAAAAGAGGGGAAUGAUGCCAGGCUUGACAUUCUCAAAUGAGCUUAUUUCUAGAGACGAAGGCCUCCAUUGUGACUUUGCUUGCCUUCUUUACAGUUUGUUAAGGAAUCAAUUACAUUGGGAAAAGGUUCAUCACAUUGUACAUGAAGCUGUUGAAAUUGAGACGCAAUUUGUGUGCGAGGCCCUUCCAUGUGCGUUGAUUGGCAUGAAUUCAAUACUCAUGAGCCAGUAUAUAAAGUUUGUAGCUGACCGACUUUUGGUUUCAUUAGGGUGCCAGAGGAAAUACAAUGUGGAAAAUCCUUUUGAUUGGAUGGAAUUUAUUUCUCUGCAGUGAGUAUUGAUGAAAGCAUGCUUAGGUUCUGAUUUUAUUCUUUAAAUUAACUCAAGCAAAGGUUAAAAGUACUGCUGAUCUCAUUAGGAUUUCCUUUCAUUUUCAAGUAGGUUGUAACCCCUUGAGGGUGCCUCUUAGAAGGCUUUAACAGCCAGAUAUUUUUCUUUGAAAACCAAUUGAUUUAUGGGUUUCCACCAUCCCCUGCAUUAUGAUAAAAUAUUAGGUCUAUCAUAUUUUCGUAAGUAUAAUCAUAUCACUAUUAGCACCUGCAGGGACCAAUCAAAUAUUGGUCCCUGACGUAAAUUAUCAAACCAUGUUUACAAGAAUUGAGGUGUGAACAGCCAGACUUGAUGGAAGUAUGGGAUAAGGCUUAAGAGCCACUUAGGAAGUCAGACUUAUUUGAGUUGGUGAUAUGUUUGGCCAAAAUAAACAGAGGAAAGGCAAACUUUUUUGAAAGAAGGGUGGGCGAAUAUCAAAAGGCAUCUGUAAUGUCAAGCCUUCAAGAUGGUGGAAAAAACUUUGUCUUUAAGCUGGAUGAGGACUUCUAAUCAUACUUAUCCCACUCCCUCAAGUAUCAUACAGAUGCUAGAACUGGGCAUCAAAAUUUUGUUACUAUUCUUCAUGGUAACCUGUUGUGUAUAACUCUAUUCCAAUUAUAAGCAAUUCAAAGGCAUCAUCAAGGCCUAGUUUAAAAUUGUAAUUUUUAUUAGAAAAAAAUUUUAUUUGAACUUGUAAAAACUUGUCAUAUGUACAGUAUACUAAGGUAGCGUGUCUUCUUAUCUAUGAUUUUUAGUGGCUGUCAUAAUCAAAAUGAUGGCAUUGAUCUUUUUUUUUAUA